ACGGGUGAGUAACGCGUGGGAAUCUACCGUGCCCUGCGGAAUAGCUCCGGGAAACUGGAAUUAAUACCGCAUACGCCCUACGGGGGAAAGAUUUAUCGGGGUAUGAUGAGCCCGCGUUGGAUUAGCUAGUUGGUGGGGUAAAGGCCUACCAAGGCGACGAUCCAUAGCUGGUCUGAGAGGAUGAUCAGCCACAUUGGGACUGAGACACGGCCCAAACUCCUACGGGAGGCAGCAGUGGGGAAUAUUGGACAAUGGGCGCAAGCCUGAUCCAGCCAUGCCGCGUGAGUGAUGAAGGCCUUAGGGUUGUAAAGCUCUUUCACCGGAGAAGAUAAUGACGGUAUCCGGAGAAGAAGCCCCGGCUAACUUCGUGCCAGCAGCCGCGGUAAUACAAAAGGGGCUAGCGUUGUUCGGAAUUACUGGGCGUAAAGCGCACGUAGGCGGAUAUUUAAGUCAGGGGUGAAAUCCCAGAGCUCAACUCUGGAAUGCCCCUUUGAUACUGGGUAUCUUGAGUAUGGAAGAGGUAAGUGGAAUUCCGAGUGUAGAGGUGAAAUUCGUAGA
rnacentral:rRNA from 1 species